CCUCAUGUACCUCUAGUUAAUAAUGACUAUAUCAGGUAAUCAUCAUUAUCCCUCAUGUGCCUCUAGUUAAUAAUGACUAUAUCAGGUAAUCAUCAUUAUCCCUCAUGUGCCUCUAGUUAAUAAUGACUAUAUCAGGUAAUCAUCAUUAUCCCCCAUGUACCUCUAGUUAAUAAUGACUAUAUCAGGUAAUCAUCAUUAUCCCCCAUGUGCCUCUAGUUAAUAAUGACUAUAUCAGGUAAUCAUCAUUAUCCCUCAUGUACCUCUAGUUAAUAAUGACUAUAUCAGGUAAUCAUCAUUAUCCCUCAUGUACCUCUAGUUAAUAACUAUAUCAGGUAAUCAUCAUUAUCCCUCAUGUACCUC